AACGCACAUUGCGCCCCCUGGUAUUCCGGGGGGCAUGCCUGUUCGAGCGUCAUUAUGACCAAUCCCGCAAGGGGUCUUGGGGUCCGCGGUUCGCUGCGGCCCUUAAAAUCAGUGGCGGCGCCAGCGGUGCUCUCAGCGUAGUAAUACUCCUCGCUCGGGAACCACGGUGGAUGCUCGCCAGCAACCCCAAUCUUAAUACUAGGUUGACCUCGGAUCAGGUAGGGAUACCCGCUGAACUUAA
rnacentral:misc_RNA from 1 species